rnacentral:tRNA from 1 species
ACUCUCUUAGUAUAAUUACCAGUACAGCUGACUUCCAAUCAGCCAGUUCAAGAACAAACCUAGAAGAGAGUA